UUUUAUUCGAUCGAAAGAGAAAUAUUUGUUCAGUUUUGCACGCUGCUGUAUGUUGCCGGUAACUGGUUGGCGCUAACCCACUUUUAUCCCGUGCCAGAAAAGUCAGUACAUUAGCUGACAUUGCUAUUAUAUAAAUUUUUACAAUAUAUAAUAUGGAAUUAAAAGCGCAAAAUGAAGGUGUAUUAAUGAGUGUUAAUAAUAUGAUGACUUAUGUUGAUUUUGCAAAAAAUAUUUGGACUUUUAACUUCGUGCGUCCAAAAUAUAGGCAUAGAUAAAAGCGAAAGAAAAUGGUGUAGAGAUAAAUGGGGGAUUUCUAAUAUUUGUAAGCUUUCUUGAUUUUGCAUUAAACACUGUGUGAACAUUAUAUGUAGGUACAUGGAUUUCUGUCAUUAUAAUGUAAUAAACCAUUUGAGGGCGAAAAUAUCGCCAACGAUAAAAGAGAAAGAAAAAAAUGCACAUAUGUUAAUGUAAAAAUAAACAAGUCAUAAACAUUUUA